GUGAGGAAUAUUGGUCAAUGGACGAGAGUCUGAACCAGCCAAGUCGCGUGAAGGAAGACGGUUCUAUGAAUUGUAAACUUCUUUUGUGCAGGAAUAAAGUGGGUUACGUGUAACCUUUUGUAUGUACUGUACGAAUAAGGAUCGGCUAACUCCGUGCCAGCAGCCGCGGUAAUACGGAGGAUCCGAGCGUUAUCCGGAUUUAUUGGGUUUAAAGGGUGCGUAGGUGGAUUGAUAAGUCAGCGGUGAAAGUUUGCAGCUUAACUGUAAAAUUGACGUUGAAACUGUCGGUCUUGAGUGCAAAUGAGGUAGGCGGAAUGUGUUGUGUAGCGGUGAAAUGCUUAGAUAUAACACAGAACUCCGAUUGCGAAGGCAGCUUACUGGGAUGCAACUGACACUGAUGCACGAAAGCGUGGGUAUCAAACAGGAUUAGAAACCCCGGUAGUCC
rnacentral:rRNA from 1 species